AAAUUUUCUAUCUUUCUACAAAUCGUUUACUUCUUGAGCUCAAAUCAUCAACUAGUGAAGUUUUAUUUGAAGUGAAGGAGAGAGCAGUGUUGUCACCAGGUACCCAGGCGAUCGCUUAGGUGCCGGGACAAAAUCCAAGCACCUCGCCUGAGAAGCCUCCGGGCAAGGCGAUCUCAACUAGGCACCACCUAGGCUCCCAGGUGAGGCCUAUGCUGGGCGAGGCGAGGAAAGGCCAAAAAAAUGCAAGAAAUUAAAAAAAGAAAAGUUGAGAGAG
rnacentral:misc_RNA from 1 species